UAAUCUAUCCGAAAACUCUUAUAUACUAUGGCUAAAAUCAGGUAAAAUCUACGGAUCACUAUCUGAGAUUUGUUUAUUUUUUCCAAUUAUUUUUUGAGAACAGAUCGUGUUCGAGAGAGAGAGAGAGAGAGAGAUGAUUGGGUAAGCUGUGCUCAACGCCCUAGCAAACCCCGGCCUCCUUCUCUUCCUCUUCCUCGUAGGCCUCGAGAUUGAUCUGAAACCUCUCCGCCGCACCAGCCAAAAAGUGAUUUCCAUCGCAACCGCCAGAAUGCUCCUUCCUUCCGCGAUGGGCGUCGGAGUGGGCUUUCCAGAUGCUUCUCAAGGAGAUGUCCGGUUCGAAUCAAACCAACAACGCAAAAUUGCGAGUUUUUGUCCUUCAAUUCUGUUUUUGAAGGAACCCACACAAAAGAAGGCCGUUGCUUCUACCCAACGGGAGUGUUGCAAAGAAAUCAAAAAAUGAAUCAUCUUCCCAGGAGGAAUCUUCUGAUGAGAAAGAAGUUGCUGUUACAAACCUGCACCUAAGGCUAAAGAAGAUACCAAGAGUGCUAAAAAGGAUAGUAGUAGCGAUGAAUCCCGCUCCGAUGAGGAAGAAACCCCAAAGAAAAAGAGCUCUGAUGUUGAAAUGGUGGAUGCUGAGAUGAAACAGCCGGAAAACUUGCUUCUUGAUGCUCAAGGAAAUCUGAAAGUCUGGUUUUGGAUUCAGUGCCUUAUCCCAACAAGUCAUGGCCAGAACAAAAGCUUGUGAAGGAUAGUUUCAUCAUCAGGAAACCAACCAAGAUCCACUCUCCUGAAGAAAUACUGAGAGUUAAAGAAGAUUGACAAGUACAUAUACCAUGUAUCGAGCAUACAAGGCGACGGAGAAACUCUGAUGUAUGUAGCAGACGAGUCGAUAGAAGUCAAUUCCUGUGACUAGGUGAUGCGACGACAACACUCUCAAGGCGGAUGCUCUGGAGGCUGGAGGCCUAGUUUUUUUUUUUUUGGUCAAAAGGCUUAGUUUAAGUUUUGGUUAAUUAUGUUUUGGCUAAUUAUGUUUUGGUUUAAUGUUUUAAUUUGUUUGGUUUAAUGUGUUAUACUGAAUUUAAUCAAUAAAUAAAAUUUUAUUUUAAAAUUAAA